rnacentral:rRNA from 1 species
ACGGGUGAGUAAUGUCUGGGAAACUGCCUGAUGGAGGGGGAUAACUACUGGAAACGGUAGCUAAUACCGCAUAACGUCGCAAGACCAAAGAGGGGGACCUUCGGGCCUCUUGCCAUCAGAUGUGCCCAGAUGGGAUUAGCUAGUAGGUGGGGUAACGGCUCACCUAGGCGACGAUCCCUAGCUGGUCUGAGAGGAUGACCAGCCACACUGGAACUGAGACACGGUCCAGACUCCUACGGGAGGCAGCAGUGGGGAAUAUUGCACAAUGGGCGCAAGCCUGAUGCAGCCAUGCCGCGUGUAUGAAGAAGGCCUUCGGGUUGUAAAGUACUUUCAGCGGGGAGGAAGGUGUUGCGGUUAAUAACCGCAGCAAUUGACGUUACCCGCAGAAGAAGCACCGGCUAACUCCGUGCCAGCAGCCGCGGUAAUACGGAGGGUGCAAGCGUUAAUCGGAAUUACUGGGCGUAAAGCGCACGCAGGCGGUCUGUCAAGUCGGAUGUGAAAUCCCCGGGCUCAACCUGGGAACUGCAUUCGAAACUGGCAGGCUAGAGUCUUGUAGAGGGGGGUAGAAUUCCAGGUGUA